rnacentral:rRNA from 1 species
GGUGGUGCAUGGUUGUCGUCAGCUCGUGUCGUGAGAUGUUGGGUUAAGUCCCGCAACGAGCGCAACCCUCGUUCCAUGUUGCCAGCACGUAAUGGUGGGGACUCAUGGGAGACUGCCGGGGUCAACUCGGAGGAAGGUGAGGACGACGUCAAAUCAUCAUGCCCCUUAUGUCUUGGGCUUCACGCAUGCUACAAUGGCCGGUACAAUGGGUUGCGAUACUGUGAGGUGGAGCUAAUCCCAAAAAGCCGGUCUCAGUUCGGAUUGGGGUCUGCAACUCGACCCCAUGAAGUCGGAGUCGCUAGUAAUCGCAGAUCAGCAACGCUGCGGUGAAUACGUUCCCGGGCCUUGUACAC